CACUAAGAAGCUUUUACAGCGUCAGCCUUUUAAGUUGAAGAAGAAAUACCACUUUCCUUAGUGAU
rnacentral:tRNA from 1 species